rnacentral:rRNA from 1 species
UACGUAGGGUGCGAGCGUUUGUCCGGAAUUAUUGGGCGUAAAGAGCUCGUAGGCGGCUUGUCGCGUCGGAUGUGAAAGCCCGGGGCUUAACUCCGGGUCUGCAUUCGAUACGGGCAGACUGGAGUUCGGCAGGGGAGACUGGAAUUCCUGGUGUAGCGGUGAAAUGCGCAGAUAUCAGGAGGAACACCGGUGGCGAAGGCGGGUCUCUGGGCAAUAACUGACGCUGAGGAGCGAAAGCGUGGGGAGCGAACAGG